UUGCUCUGGCAGCACAUAUAUUAAAACUGGAAAGACACAGAGAAGAUUAGCAUGGCCCUUGAGCAAGGAUGAUGUGCAAAUUUGUGAAGUGUUCCAUAUUCUU
ensembl:snRNA U6 U6 spliceosomal RNA